UACGUAGGGGGCGAGCGUUGUCCGGAUUUAUUGGGCGUAAAGAGCUCGUAGGCGGUUUGGCAAGUCGGGUGUGAAAACUCCGGGCUCAACUCGGAGACGCCACUCGAUACUGCCAUGACUCGAGUCCGGUAGGGGAGUGCGGAAUUCCUGGUGUAGCGGUGAAAUGCGCAGAUAUCAGGAGGAACACCAAUGGCGAAGGCAGCUCGCUGGGACGUUACUGACGCUGAGACGCGAAAGCGUGGGGAGCAAACAGGAUUAGAUACCCUUGUAGU
rnacentral:rRNA from 1 species